CACUCCAGCCUGGGCAAUAGAGCGACUCCGUCUAAAAAAAAAAAAAAAAAAUAGUUAAGUCAAAGAGGGCAUCUUGGUCCUUGCUGGCCCUGGGCUGGCAGAGCAGCCCUCUUCUCACCCUUCCUUAAGGGUUACAGUUAGAGUUUCCACAUUCGCCCUCAGGCCCUGUCCAAAUACACUGAAGAGAUGUUUGGAAGAGUCCUCUCCUGCCAUGGAGAAGGGUUAGCAAACAGGAACAGCCCUCCCCUGUGCUGAAGCCAGGCCUGUCUUCCCUGCUGUCCAUGGAGAGGAGGGGACAGGAAUACUCCAGUGCCAGCCACAGGACCUCACGGGUGCCCCAGGGUGUCAGGGUAAAGGCAGAGAAAGAACAGGGGGCAGCCCUGGGGCGGGCAUCUCGUGUGCCCCCCAGUUCCACCAUAGCAGCUGGAGCACAGGCCAUGAAGGAGCAUGAGGGGGCCCUGGGCUCAGACGGUCGCUUCCAUGAUGGUGAGAGGCAGGGACGGGGUCCGUGGUCGUCUCCCGGCCAGGAGGUAACAUUCUGGGAAGGUAGCUAAGAUGGUGAGCUUUGAAUUAAUCAGAGCUGAAUUAAUCUCUUUCCCACCACCUGCUGGCGUUGUGCCCCAGGCAGCGGCUUCAUCUCUCUGAGCCUUAGUUUCCUCAUCUCAAAACAGGAGGCAAAUGCCUACCUUAGUGCUGUGACAAUCAAAUGCAGGGAAGCAUCUCACCCGGCGCCUGGCACGCAGGAAACAACUGUAAGAGUUUUCAUCAGUGGUAUUUCAGGUGGUGUGGCCACAUGGUUGCUAGAGAGACUGCCCCGUGUCAUGGUGGAGACCACCCUCCUGGAAGGGUGAGCUUCAUGAGAAAAAUCUGGCUUCAGAGGCUGGCAAGAGAUAGAAUUCACACAAACCACAGGAAGAAUGAUGGGUCCGGAGCAGGAGAAAGUGGAACAGGAAGGAGCAGGCCCGAAGGCCAGCGCUUAGUGUGUAAAGCUAGAAUGCACUGGGACGGAGGCUCCUGGGAGCGCAGAAGCCGCUUCAACUCAAAAAACCUGAGGGCCCUUGCUCUGGGGAAAGCCAGCUGUGGUGCUGUGGGCAGCCUGAGGAAAGGUGCCCCCAUGGAAAGACACGAGGUCUCCACCCAGCAGUGUGGUGGGCCUGAGGCCACAGGAGCCACCUGCAAGCCGCUGGAGCCCAACUGAGCCUUGAGGUGCCUGCUUCCAUGAGACCCCGCGAGCCAGAGGCAGCCAGUCAAGAGGCACCCAGAUUCCUGCCCCACAGAAACUGAGGUAAUAACGUUGUUUAAAGCCACUGCAUUUGGAGGAAAUAUAUAUCAAGCAGCUGCUAAAUAUGCUGUUCUCUGCUGGCUGCUGCCAGAAUACUGACCAGAGCGGCUCCUGUCUGUGUGGUACCUCCCCUGCCCAGGCCUGGUACUCGCCGCUGAACACACGACUUUAUCUCAGCCCCAUGACAAUGCUGGACGUGCAAGAUGCUGUGAUUCCCGUCACACCCAAGGAAAUGGGCACAGACCGAGGAGUGCCUUGCCCAGGGUCACCGGCAGUAAGAGGAGGAGCUGGGGUGUCACACCCAGGCAGCUAGUUCCAAAGUUCCUGCUCUUAAUGACUGCACUGUGGUGUCUCAGACCUCAGCAGGUGGGAGCCAAGCCACACAACCCCCACCACAGGGGUCAACAGCAACGGGGGGAGAGACCGAAGCGGCACUGUGGCUCAUCAGUGGGGUCACGGGAACCAAAGCAGUGGUGCUGGGAGAGAGAAGGGUUCCUGGGAACUGUGGCUGGAAGAGGACGUGGGACCUGGGGCCGUAGAAACCUCCACCAUGCCGGCUCCCGAGGCCCCCAGAGUGACGGGGAACAUUCUCUGAGACCUCCUGGCCACACUGUGUGUGUGUCCAUGAUCUAAGCUGGCCUCUGACACUGGUAACACCCCCUCUGACCACCACUGGACAGGCCUGUACCCCGCUGCACUGUCCCAGAGCCAUGUUCCCAGGCUCUGCGGCAUAGCCUCAGCCUGCAGCUCCUGCUGGGCCUGCCAUUGAGGACGGGAGCUGAAGGCUGCGCUGCACAAGAUGUGGGCCAGGGACCAGAAGAGCCAGCACAACGGGGGCUGCUUAGAAACUCCCUGGUCAGGCUGGGCACGGUGGCUUAGGCCUGUAGUCCCA